GCCUGCGGAGCGGAGGAAGACAAACAUAAAGAUGAAGUGCUUAAUUCAAGGUCACACAAUGUCGGGGAUGGACCUCCAGAUUUCCUUACUGACCUGCAUUAUCUUGUGGAUACCUGAGUGAAUUCCACACCACCCAUUUUAUAGAUGAAACCACUGAGACAUGGAGCAAUUGACUGAGUAGUCACUGCCCCACCCCUGCCUGGAGCCUCACACAUGACUCGCCUCCUCUCAGUGACCACAGGUUGGUUGAGGGGUUUAACAAGGCUAAGAAGGUGAGACGUGGUCUUGUAACACAGUGGUUAAGAAUGUGACUUUGGAGCCAGCCUGCUAGGGGCUGAAUUCUGACUCAGCCAUUUACUAACUGUGUGACCUUAGGUGGGUUCCCAAGCCUGUAAAAUGUAAGCCUUAUGCUGCUGAGGGCCAUCUUGCCACCCUGAGGGAAACGCUGCCUGAGAAUGAAACAAGCAUAAGUAAAAGCUGAGCUGUGAGAUGGAGCAAGAUGAAGGCCACAUGACAUCUUUGGAGCACCUGGAUCUAACUGUGCCUUAAGCUAGUCUAACCCUGAACAUUUCAUCAUUUCAUUGACAUGAGCCCAGGUUUUCUUUUUUUUUGGAUGGAGUCUUGCUCUGUCGCCCAGGCUGGAGUGCAGUAGCUCAAUCUCGGCUCACUGCAAGCUCCACCUCCCGGGUUCACGCCAUUCUCCUGCCUUAGCCUCCCAAGUAGCUGGGACAACAGGCGCCCACCACCACUCCCAGCUAAUUUUUUGUAUUUUUAGUAGAGACGGGGUUUUACCAUGUUAGCCGGGAUGGUCUUGAUCUCCUGACCUCAUGAUCCGCCCGCCUCGGCCUCCCAAAGUGCUGGGAUUACAGGUGUG
rnacentral:lncRNA from 1 species